rnacentral:rRNA from 1 species
UACGGGGGGGGCAAGCGUUAAUCGGAAUUACUGGGCGUAAAGGGCGCGUAGGCGGAUAAUUAAGUUAGGUGUGAAAUCCCUGGGCUUAACCUGGGAACUGCAUUUAAUACUGGUUAUCUAGAGUAGAGUAGAGGGAAGUGGAAUUUCCGGUGUAGCGGUGAAAUGCGUAGAUAUCGGAAAGAACAUCAGUGGCGAAAGCACUCUGCUGGGCCGACACUGACACUGAGAGACGAAAGCUAGGGGAGCGAAUGGG